GAUGAACGCUGGCGGCGUGCCUAAUACAUGCAAGUCGAGCGAACGGACGAGAAGCUUGCUUUUCUGAUGUUAGCGGCGGACGGGUGAGUAACACGUGGAUAACCUACCUAUAAGACUGGGAUAACUUCGGGAAACCGGAGCUAAUACCGGAUAAUAUUUUGAACCGCAUGGUUCAAAAGUGAAAGACGGUCUUGCCGUCACUUAUAGAUGGAUCCGCGCUGCAUUAGCUAGUUGGUAAGGUAACGGCUUACCAAGGCAACGAUGCAUAGCCGACCUGAGAGGGUGAUCGGCCACACUGGAACUGAGACACGGUCCAGACUCCUACGGGAGGCAGCAGUAGGGAAUCUUCCGCAAUGGGCGAAAGCCUGACGGAGCAACGCCGCGUGAGUGAUGAAGGUCUUCGGAUCGUAAAACUCUGUUAUUAGGGAAGAACAUAUGUGUAAGUAACUGUGCACAUCUUGACGGUACCUAAUCAGAAAGCCACGGCUAACUACGUGCCAGCAGCCGCGGUAAUACGUAGGUGGCAAGCGUUAUCCGGAAUUAUUGGGCGUAAAGCGCGCGUAGGCGGUUUUUUAAGUCUGAUGUGAAAGCCCACGGCUCAACCGUGGAGGGUCAUUGGAAACUGGAAAACUUGAGUGCAGAAGAGGAAAGUGGAAUUCCAUGUGUAGCGGUGAAAUGCGCAGAGAUAUGGAGGAACACCAGUGGCGAAGGCGACUUUCUGGUCUGUAACUGACGCUGAUGUGCGAAAGCGUGGGGAUCAAACAGGAUUAGAUACCCUGGUAGUCCACGCCGUAAACGAUGAGUGCUAAGUGUUAGGGGGUUUCCGCCCCUUAGUGCUGCAGCUAACGCAUUAAGCACUCCGCCUGGGGAGUACGACCGCAAGGUUGAAACUCAAAGGAAUUGACGGGGACCCGCACAAGCGGUGGAGCAUGUGGUUUAAUUCGAAGCAACGCGAAGAACCUUACCAAAUCUUGACAUCCUUUGACAACUCUAGAGAUAGAGCCUUCCCCUUCGGGGGACAAAGUGACAGGUGGUGCAUGGUUGUCGUCAGCUCGUGUCGUGAGAUGUUGGGUUAAGUCCCGCAACGAGCGCAACCCUUAAGCUUAGUUGCCAUCAUUAAGUUGGGCACUCUAAGUUGACUGCCGGUGACAAACCGGAGGAAGGUGGGGAUGACGUCAAAUCAUCAUGCCCCUUAUGAUUUGGGCUACACACGUGCUACAAUGGACAAUACAAAGGGCAGCGAAACCGCGAGGUCAAGCAAAUCCCAUAAAGUUGUUCUCAGUUCGGAUUGUAGUCUGCAACUCGACUACAUGAAGCUGGAAUCGCUAGUAAUCGUAGAUCAGCAUGCUACGGUGAAUACGUUCCCGGGUCU
rnacentral:rRNA from 1 species